CCUCUCCUAUCCUGAGCACCAACGCUGGCCCUUCCCAUCCAGCGGGCCUCCUUUCCUGUCUGCUCCCUUCGCACAACUGCACAUCAUCAUCGCCGCUGCCGUCGGCACCCGCUUCCGUUAACGCGAAGGUCUUUCCCCCACUCUCUCGGGUUUCUUCCAGCGCGCUGCGGUAUCGACAUCUGAGCACCGCUUCCCUGACACGGCCGCGUGCACCCGCACCGCUCUAGCGGCUGCCAUGCAGUACGAGGACCCGCGCCAUCACAGCGCAGCGUCAGCGGAGCACAGAGCGCUGCCGAAAGGUGGGCAUCAGAAUGGCGCCGCUGAACAGCUUGCAACCGCUUCAAAGGCCACGGCAGCGAAUCGCCAAGCUGCACUGCACGAGCGCGAUACGCUGAAGCAGCGAAUAACGGAGCUGUGGGGCCCGCCGAAGCACUACGUGGAGUGCGACGAGGACCGCGCCUCCUUCAGCCAUCGCAUGUGGUACUUCUUUGUGUAUCCGAUGGUGCUGCUCGCAUCACGGGAACAGAUCAGUCUUGAGAAUAUGCCCCCGCCAACGCGGGAUGUGCGCGCGCACGACUGCGGGCUGCGGCUGUCGCGUGCUGUGCAGGCGGCGAUGUACGAGCGGAACGCGUGGAACUGCAUGGCUGGGACGGAGGUCGUGAGCACGCUGGACGCUUCGAGUCGCGGUGUUCUGCGGUGGGUCGGGGUGCCGCAGCAGGGCGGGUACACGCGGAUGAUGGCUGGCGUGGAGUGGAGCGUGCCGCCGGCUCUGCGCACCGCUGCGAGGUCCGACGACAGCGGUGCGUCGCCGUUCUUCGACGGCGUUGCGCACGGUGAGCACCUGUUCACGCCUGAGCAGAGUGGCAUGUCGACGCUGGAGGAGGUGACGUGCGUAAGGUUGCUGUCGUCGGAUGGGAGGCCCGUGGACGCUGCUUCUGUGCCAACGCCGCGCCGGCUCUCUCUCAUGCGCGUGCUCCUGGCAUCGCUGCCGGAGUAUUUUUGGUGGCAGGUUCCCUUCAAGCUUGUUGGUGACGUGUGCACCCUCACUAUACCUUUUCUCUUGAAGGCGUUUGUGCACUUCAUCAGCGAGCGCAACCAGAGCUGGGCGUACGGGCUGGUGCUAACAGUGACGUUCUUCCUGACACAACUGAUGCAGAGCACCUGCCUGCACCGCUUCUACUACGUGAGCAUCAAAUGUGGUCUGCAGUACCGCUCCGCCCUUAACGGGUUGAUAUUUGAGAAGGUGUUCACGAUCUCCCACAAGGCUCUGGCAGAUCCACAGAUGAACACAGGCCGCAUCAUCAACAUGAUGAGCACGGACACCGAGCAGGCAAACCAGUUCAUGCAGUAUUGCAUGUACAUCUGGAGCAGCCCCAUGGUGUUUCUUAUCUCCAUCUCAUUUCUCAGUCGCUUGGUGGGUUGGUGCUCCAUCAUGGCUGUCGUGGCGCUGCUCAUGACGCUGCCGAUCAACGGUUGGCUGAUGAAGUGGCAGAUGGCGGCGCGGCGAAAGCUCGUCAAGGCAACGGAUGUGCGCGUGAAAGCGGCGAACGAGUUCUUCUCGGGCGUCCGCGUCGCCAAGUUUAUGACGUGGGAGCCGCGGUUUAUCGCGAACAUCGAGGAGAAGCGCGCCUUGGAGGUGUCGUACUUGAAGCAGGUGCAGACCGCGCGAGUCUGCACGUCGUUUGUGAGCAUGGCCACCCCACAGGUCAUGAUCGCCGCGGUGUUCAUUGUGUAUUACCUGCUUGGGCACGAGCUCACGCCGACGGUGGUGUACCCGACUAUCUCUCUCCUUGGCAUUAUCAGGAUGCCGUUUAAUAUGCUGCCGUUAGUGUUCACCCUGUCGGCGCAGUACCUUGUGGCCAUCACGCGUAUCAACAAAUUCCUCGAGUGCGACAACGCCACCUGCUCCACUGUGCAGGACAUGGAGGAGUACUGGAGGGAGCAGCGCGAACACAGCACUGCGUGCCAGCUUGCCGCUGUGCUGGAGAACGUCGACGUGACUGCCUUUGUGCCCGUGAAACUGCCGUUUGCGCCGAAGGUGAAGACGUCUCUGCUUUCUCGGGCUCUGCGGAUGCUGUGCUGCGGGCGCUGCCGACCUGCGAAGCAGUACCCCGCGCCAACGGCUGUGGCGGAGGAUGUGUGCGCGGCUUUGCCAUUAUCGCCCUCGCCGCCGUCUUCGUCGGCAUCGCCGCGCGGAGGCGCCUUUCGUAAGGGUAAGGUUGAGGCGGAUGACUUCUUCGAGCUGGAGCCGAAGGUGCUGCUGCACGACGUGUCUGUGAGCGUCCCGCGCGGGAAGCUGACGGUUGUGCUUGGCGCGACCGGGAGCGGGAAGUCGACGCUGCUGCAGUCGCUGCUGUCGCAGUUCGAGAUCAGCGAGGGCCGCGUGUGGGCGGAGCGGAGCAUCGCGUACGUGCCGCAGCAGGCGUGGAUCAUGAACGCGACGGUGCGCGGCAACAUCCUGUUCUUCGACGAGGAGGACGCCGCGCGGCUCGCGGAUGCCGUGCGCGUGAGCCAGCUGGAGGCGGACGUUGCGCAGCUUGGCGGGGGGCUGGAGACGGAGAUCGGGGAGAAGGGCGUGAACCUGAGCGGCGGGCAGAAGGCGCGCGUGAGCCUUGCGCGCGCCGUGUACGCGAACCGCGACGUGUACCUGCUGGACGACCCCCUGUCCGCGCUGGACGCGCACGUUGGCGAGCGCGUUGUGGAGGAGUGCUUCCUUGGCGCGCUUGCGGGCAAGACGCGCGUGCUUGCGACGCACCAGGUGCACAUUGUGCCGAGGGCAGACUACGUUGUGGCGCUGGGUGACGGGCGCGUCGAGUUCAGCGGAAGCAGCGCGGACUUUAUGCACACACCGUUUUACGCGUCGCUGGCCGCUGCGGAGGCAGAUAGCCCUCCAAGAAAGGGCGGUGGCGCGAAUGCAGAUGCUGAGGACAUGGACGCUGCCUGCGGUGGCGUAUCGGACCCCGAGGAGGGCUCUGCAAAGCCGGUGAGGAGGGCGGUGUCGGGGGAUGGCGCCGCUGCCCCCGCCGCUGCUGCUCAGCUGAUGACAGUGGAGGAGAAAGCGUCGGGCAUGGUGGCAUGGGGGACGUAUCGAGAGUACCUCAGGUUCUGCGGAGGGCGUUUGUGGAUUGGUGGGGUUCUGGCGAUAUUUGGCGUGACCGAGUUCUUCACCAUCUCUUCGAUGCUGUGCUUGUCGAUGUGGGCGGCGCGGCGCUUCGAUUUGUCGGACGCGUCGUACCUGUUGAUGUAUAUUGGCUGCGUUGUGCUUGGGACGUCGACAGUGCCGCUGCGCUUUUACUUCUCAUUCGAGGCAAUGCGGCGCGGGUGCGCUAGGAUGCACCACGCCGUUCUGCGCAGUGUGUCACGCGGAACGAUGGAGUUCUUUGAUACAACACCGCUGGGCCGCAUACUCAACCGCUUCUCGCGCGACGUGGACGUCGCAGACAACACGCUGCCAAUGUCGAUGCUACAGAUGAUGAGCUGCCUUUGCGGGAUCCUGUCAUCGCUUCUGGUGACGUUCUUCACGCAGCCGCUGGUGAUAUUCGCGCUUGCGCCGUGCGGGUAUCUGUACUACCGGAUCAUGGUGUUCUACAACUCUGCUAACCGCGAGAUCCGCCGAACAAGCAGCGUUGUAAAGUCGCCUCUGUUCUCUCUUCUUGGCGAGGCGCUGACGGGCAGCGCGACAAUCACUGCGUACCGCCGCGCUUCGACGGUGAUGCAGGAGGCGCUGCACCGGCUGGACCUCGUGUACUCGUGCUCAAUCCUAGAGAACAUGGCGAACCGCUGGCUUGGAGUUCGUGUAGAGUUCCUCAGCAACAUCGUGGUGUCGACAAUUGUGCUUAUCGGCAUUGGCCGCACGGUGCUGAUGGAGACCCAUGAGGAAUGGAUAGCGCUUGUCUCGCUGUCACUGACGAUGGCAACGCAGACGACAGCAAUGCUGAACUGGCUUCUGCGGCAGGUUGCGACGGUGGAGGCGGACAUGAACAGCGUGGAGCGGCUGCUGCACUACACCCACAAAGUGCCGCAGGAGGCGAUGCCGGAGCUGGACGCGGAGGUGGACGCGCUGGAGAGGCGGACGGGAAUGGCGGCGGACGUGACGGGGACGGUUGUGAUCGAGCCUGCGAGCCCGACGAGCGCCGCGCCGCACACCGUGCAGGCCGGGUCGCUUGUGUUCGAGGGCGUGCAGAUGCGGUACCGCGAGGGGCUGCCGCUUGUGCUGCGCGGCGUGAGCUUCCGGAUCGCGCCGCGCGAGAAGGUCGGCAUUGUUGGGCGGACGGGGAGCGGGAAGUCGACGCUGCUGCUGACGUUCAUGCGGAUUGUGGAGGUGUGCGGCGGGGAGAUCCGCGUGAACGGGCGCGAGAUCGGUGCGUACGGGCUGCGCGAGCUGCGGCGGCAGUUCUCGAUGAUCCCGCAGGACCCUGUGCUGUUCGACGGGACGGUGCGGCAGAACGUGGACCCGUUCCUGGAGGCGUCGUCCGCGGAGGUGUGGGCUGCGCUGGAGCUUGUAGGGCUGCGCGAGCGCGUUGCGUCGGAGAGCGAGGGGAUCGACAGCCGCGUGCUGGAGGGCGGGUCGAACUACAGCGUUGGGCAGCGGCAGCUGAUGUGCAUGGCGCGCGCGCUGCUGAAGAAGGGGAGCGGGUUCAUCCUGAUGGACGAGGCGACGGCGAACAUCGACCCCGCGCUUGACCGGCAGAUCCAGGCGACAGUGAUGAGCGCGUUCUCGGCGUACACGGUGAUCACGAUCGCGCACCGGCUGCACACUGUCGCGCAGUACGACAAGAUCAUCGUGAUGGACCACGGUGCUGUUGCGGAGAUGGGCAGUCCGCGCGAGCUUGUGAUGAACCGCCAGUCCAUAUUCCACAGCAUGGUGGAGGCACUGGGCCGCAGCGAGGCAGCGCGCGUGAUUCAGGUGGCGAUGGCUCAAUAAGGGUAAUGGUGGUAGUGAGGAGGGGGGGCUACGAACAUUUGCUGAGGUGCUUUCUUCUUGGCGGGGCUGUUCGUAGCUCCAAGAAGGUCCUAUGUAAGAAGGCGGCUCUCUCUAGGCCGCUGGGCGUCUCUCUCUUUCUCGGUAAGCUGAGCUGGCUGCGCUGUGGUCGACAAGUACCGGUUGGAGUGGUAGUGCGUACAUCAGAUGCCCUCCAGGGGCCUUGUAUGCUGUUUGUGUGGACCGUGUACUGUGCGACGGAACGAUGGGUGAUGCGGCGCGGAGUGCGAGGAGGGCUUCGGUGCACGGAAAGGCCUUUGCUACGUCACCUCCAAUGUGGAUGUCUAUAUAUAUAUAUAGCCUUCAUUUGAGGAUGUUGUUUAUGUGCAGCAGCGCUGCUUCUCGCCUCCGUCCUUUCACUGAGAUACUUCCGCCAUCGUCGUCGCACAAACCCUCGCGCACCGCGAAUGUUUGGCCUCCGCGCUCCACCACCGCGCACGUUGCACCGACACAUCGCCUCCCUUGCAUACCUCACUCUCUGUGUGCGCGCGCUGGACUCUCCUCUUUGCUUUUCACGCAAAUCGCUGUUUCAUCGGCGAUGCCGGCCACCGCACCGUGGCACGAAG
rnacentral:misc_RNA from 1 species